GACGAACGCUGGCGGCGUGCUUAACACAUGCAAGUCGAACGAAGUGGCGAACGGGUGAGUAACGCGUAAUCAACCUGCCCUUCAGCGGGGGACAACAGCUGGAAACGACUGCUCAUACCGCAUACUGAAGGAGGGGAUUGCGUCUGAUUAGCUAGUUGGAGGGGUAACGUCCCACCAAGGCGAUGAUCAGUAGCCGGGCGGAGAGGAGGAACGGCGACCUGUGAGCUGGGACACGGCACAGACUCCAACGGGAGGCAGCAGUGGGGAAUCUUACGCAAUGGAGGAAAGUCUGAGGGAGCACCGCCGCGUGAGGGAUGACGGCCUUCGGGUUGUAAAGCUCUGUUAAACGGGACGCGGUACCGGAAGAGAAAGCUACGGCUAACUACGUGCCAGCAGCAGCGGUAACUC
rnacentral:rRNA from 1 species